rnacentral:rRNA from 1 species
GGCAGCCGCCGCGGGAAUACCAGCUCCCCGAGUGGUCAGGACGAUUAUUGGGCUUAAAGCAUCCGUAGCCGGCUUUGUAGGUCUCUGUAAUCCAACGGCCAACCGUGGUCGCAGGGAUACCGCGGAGCUAGGGGGCGGGAGAGGCGGACGGUACUCCAUAGGUAGGGGUAAAAUCCUUUGAUCUAUGGAAGACCACCAGUGGCGAAGGCGGUCCGCUAGAACGCGCCCGACGGUGAGGGAUGAAAGCUGGGGGAGCGAACCGGAUUAGAUACCCGGGUAGUCCCAGCUGUAAACGAUGCAGGCUAGGUGAUAGAGAGGCUACGUGCCUCCCUAGUGCCGCAGGGAAACCGAUAAGCCUGCCGCCUGGGGAGUACGAUCGCAAGGUUGAAACUUAAAGGAAUUGGGCGGGGGAGCACCACGAAAGGGGUGAAGCCUGCGGUUCAAUUGGAGUCAACGCCGGGAACCUUACCGAAGGGUGACAGCAGAAUGAAGGUCACGCUAAAGACAUUACCAGACAAGCUGAGGAGUGGUGCAUGG